rnacentral:tRNA from 1 species
AGCGGGAUGCUUGUAACGGUAACUGGCCGGUCUCAUAAGCCGCGCGGCUGUGGGUUCGACUCCCUCUCCCGCCAC